AGCACGCGCACUGCAACAAGGAAUCCGUGUGCGAGUGCAAGGCCAUCUAAUGGAUUGCAGGGCUAACUAAUGUUGCUGCAAUGGAGGAGUUGAAUAUACCUUACAUUUUAAUAAUCUGUACUGAGACUACCAUUCGUCGAAGAUCCUUUUAAAUAUUAUGAAUUGCAGCAAAUGACUUGUUAAAAAUAAAAUAAAAUAAAUCCAAUAAGCCUA